rnacentral:lncRNA from 1 species
AGAAAAAUGCCAGUUACUUUUGUUUGUCUUGAGACAAAGGGAGAAAGGGUUUUCUUUUUUCUGCCUGGAAAUAUAUGUGAAAUGCAUACCUGAAGUUGUACUGGGUGGGGACCGAAGUCGUUGGCAACCACGCUGUAAAGGGGCAAAUCAGAAGGGUCAUUGUAUGAGCAAUGGCUACUGAGAAUGGCUGCAUAAUAGGCGCAUUAUGGAAUGCACACCUGGCUCCUGCAAAGCCCGAGAGUGAGAAAUCGCUUUUAUAGAACCAUCGGGUGAGCAAAAGGAUGAAGGGCUUCCGCUGUGUCAGAACAAACUGGUGCACUAUACACAAUUCCAGGUAUGGUGAUCUUCACGGGAGCCCCGCCCAGGCACAAGUGUGCACGCCAACCACGUGGGUCUUCUGAACAUUCCCACGAUUUUUCCUUAAGACAAAGGAGGGACAAUUUCAUUCCGGUCUCCGGUAUGUGGAGGAAAUCAGGCCCUAACAGGUUGAUCCUGAACAGAGUUCCCAUUCCAGUUCCUUCCCACUCCAAAGGACAGAUGGUGAUGGAGUGGCCUGGUGAUUUACUUGAAAUGAGUUGGUCCCAUGAGCUACAACUAGGAUACUGAAGAUACAGGAGAUCGAUGACGAAGGCCCAGGCAAUUGGAGUAAAGCCCGCUGGCUCUAGCAAUUGGUCCAAGAGUGAGCACCUGUUGAAAGAUGAGCCUUUCUUUUCCAGAGAUUCCCCAAACUGAAGGUUAGAGAAAGAGUCUCUCUCUUUUGGCAUCACUAAGCCUUCCCCAGGGAUUGUCUAUACUCUGGAGCCGCCUCUGGAAAUUUCCAUUCAAGAAGCCAUCUAAAGUUAUGGAGAAUGAGUGAUAACAAAAACGAAGCCAAGACUUAAGGCAGAGAAAUAGAAAGACAGUCCUAAUACCUCCAGUUCUGGAUCCAGGUGACUUUGAGGCCAACCCCACCCCUUCUUUCCCUUUAUCAAAAGUCACAAAAUUCCCCUUUUUGGAUAAAUUCUUUUGAGAUCAGUUUCUGUCACUGCAACUGAAUGCAUUCUGACCAAUACACCUCUAUGUCCAACAGGAUUGGUUAAGCAAACUAUAGUAUAUUCAUAAACUAAAACUAAUGUGGCCCUUAAAAUGAUUUUACCAAAGUAUACCUUUCAAUAAAAAUUAAAUGAAUGGAUGGCAUGCAAAGAUGAUCUGAUAUACUAAGUGAGAAAAAGCUAGCUCUAAAAGAAUAUUCAGUAUCAACUAAUUAUGUUAAAAAAUAGAUGGAUAAAUAGAGACAAUAUUUUAAUGGUAGCUUUUUUCCUAGGUAUUGGGAUGUGUGAUUUUUUAAAUCAUUUUCCAUA